rnacentral:sRNA from 1 species
ACUGGGUGUGGUGGCACACACCUGUAAUCCCAACAACUCAGGAGGCUGAGACAGGAGGAUAUCAGGUUGGAGGCCAGUCUUAGCAACUUAUUGAGACCCUGUCUCAA